rnacentral:pre_miRNA from 1 species
UUGUAGUCUGUUGUUGUAAACAUCCCCGACUGGAAGCUGGAAAACGUAGCUUUCAGUCCGAUGUUUGCUGCUGCUGGCUACUCA